GUUGCACUGCGACGUUGGUGACUGCCCUCAAGUUUUUUGAUCUAUGUCUUUAAAGAAAAGGGAGCAAGUCAGUUCUUGUGGCAGUAAACCGGGCCUGUACCCGGAAACUUUAAACGAGAAACUACCGCUCCCACCUGGUUGAACCAGGUCAUAAACUUAGGUAAAACGGCGUUGUGGUGAACUU
rfam:'Nostoc azollae' 0708, complete genome.